UGAAUACGAGAUGCUACGGCGUCGAAGCAGUCUAUGUCAUACUUCCAAGAAAAGCUUGCACUGUCAUAAACAAAUAAUGCCUGUACCAUAACCGACACAGGUGGGUAGGUAGAGUAUACUAAGGGGCGCGAGAUAACUCUCUCUAAGGAACUCGGCAAAAUGACUCCGUAACUUCGGGAGAAGGAGUGCCUUAUUUUAUAAGGUUGCAAUAACAAGAUCCAAGCAACUGUUUACCAAAAACACAGGUCUCCGCUAAGUCGUAAGACGAUGUAUGGGGGCUGACGCCUGCCCAGUGCCAGAAGGUUAAAGAAGUUGGUUAGCAUCCGCGAAGCUGAUAACUGAAGCCCUGGUGAACGGCGGCCGUAACAAUAACGGUCCUAAGGUAGCGAAAUUCCUUGUCGGGUAAGUUCCGACCCGCACGAAAGGCGUAAUGAUUUGGAUACUGUCUCAGAGAGGGGCUCGGUGAAAUAGACUUGUCUGUGAAGAUGCGGACUACCUGCACCAGGACAGAAAGACCCUAUGAAGCUUUACUGUAACUUGAAAUUGAAAUUGGACUUUACUUGCGCAGUAUAGGUGGGAGGCGUUGAGAACAUUCUUGCGGGAAUGUUGGAGCCAUCAGUGAGAUACCACUCUUGUAAUGUUAGAUUUCUAACUUUGUAUCAUUAUCUGGUCAAAGGACAGUUUCAGGCGGGCAGUUUGACUGGGGCGGUCGCCUCCCAAACGGUAACGGAGGCGCACAAAGGUUUCCUCUGAACGGGUAGAAAUCGUAUCUAGAGUGUAAAGGCAUAAGGAAGCUUGACUGUGAGACCUACAAGUCGAGCAGGGACGAAAGUCGGUCUUAGUGAUCUGACGGUGCUGAGUGGAAAGGCCGUCACUCAACGGAUAAAAGUUACUCUAGGAUAACAGGCUGAUCUCCCCCAAGAGUUCACAUCGACGGGGAGGUUUGGCACCUCGAUGUCGGCUCAUCGCAUCCUGGGGCGGUAGUACGUCCCAAGGGUUGGGCUGUUCGCCCAUGAAAGCGGUACGCGAGCUGGGUUCAGAACGUCGUGAGACAGUUCGGUCCAUAUCCGGUGUAGGCGUUAGAAUAUUGAGAGGAGCCUUCUUUAGUACGAGAGGACCGAGAAGGACAUACCUCUGGUGUACCAGUUAUCGUGCCAACGGUAAACGCUGGGUAGCUAUGUAUGGAGUGGAUAACCGCUGAAAGCAUCUAAGUGGGAAGCCCACCUCAAGAUAAGUA
rnacentral:rRNA from 1 species